rnacentral:rRNA from 1 species
UACGUAGGGUGCAAGCGUUGUCCGGAAUUAUUGGGCGUAAAGAGCUCGUAGGCGGUCUGUCGCGUCGGAUGUGAAAACCCAGGGCUCAACCCUGGGCCUGCAUUCGAUACGGGCAGACUAGAGUUCGGUAGGGGAGACUGGAAUUCCUGGUGUAGCGGUGGAAUGCGCAGAUAUCAGGAAGAACACCAGUGGCGAAGGCGACUCACUGGACACGUAUUGACGCUGAGGUGCGAAAGCGUGGGGAGCAAACAGG